rnacentral:piRNA from 1 species
UGGAUACAUUGGUGCCCUUACACUGGGUGUCU